UACGUAGGGGGCAAGCGUUGUCCGGAAUUAUUGGGCGUAAAGCGCGUGUAGGCGGCUCGGUAAGACUGCUGUGAAAGUCCAGGGCUCAACCCUGGAAUGCCGGUGGAUACUGUCGAGCUAGAGUCCGGAAGAGGCGAGUGGAAUUCCUGGUGUAGCGGUGAAAUGCGCAGAUAUCAGGAGGAACACCAAUGGCGAAGGCAGCUCGCUGGGACGGUACUGACGCUGAGACGCGAAAGCGUGGGGAGCAAACAGG
rnacentral:rRNA from 1 species